AUUGAACGCUGGCGGCAGGCCUAACACAUGCAAGUCGAGCGGAUGAAGGGAGCUUGCUCCUGGAUUCAGCGGCGGGCGGGUGAGUAAUGCCUAGGAAUCUGCCUGGUAGUGGGGGAUAACGUCCGGAAACGGGCGCUAAUACCGCAUACGUCCUGAGGGAGAAAGUGGGGGAUCUUCGGACCUCACGCUAUCAGAUGAGCCUAGGUCGGAUUAGCUAGUUGGUGGGGUAAAGGCCUACCAAGGCGACGAUCCGUAACUGGUCUGAGAGGAUGAUCAGUCACACUGGAACUGAGACACGGUCCAGACUCCUACGGGAGGCAGCAGUGGGGAAUAUUGGACAAUGGGCGAAAGCCUGAUCCAGCCAUGCCGCGUGUGUGAAGAAGGUCUUCGGAUUGUAAAGUACUUUAAGUUGGGAGGAAGGGCAGUAAGUUAAUACCUUGCUGUUUUGACGUUACCAACAGAAUAAGCACCGGCUAACUUCGUG
rnacentral:rRNA from 1 species